UAGUCCACGCCGUAAACGAUGUUUGCUAGUUGUCAGGCUCUUAGAGUUUGGUGACGGAGAGAAAUCAUUAAGCAAACCGCCUGGGGAGUACGGCCGCAAGGUUAAAACUCAAAGGAAUUGACGGGGACCCGCACAAGCGGUGGAGCAUGUUGUUUAAUUCGAAGCAACGCGAAGAACCUUACCCACUCUUGACAUCCUCCUUGGGACUUUCAGAGAUGAUUGUCUUCGGUUCGGCCGGGGGAGUGACAGGUGCUGCAUGGCUGUCGUCAGCUCGUGUCGUGAGAUGUUCGGUUAAGUCCGGUAACGAGCGCAACCCUUAUUGAUAGUUGCCACCAUUCAGUUGGGCACUCUAUUGAUACUGCCGGUGAUAAGCCGGAGGAAGGCGGGGACGACGUCAAGUCAUCAUGGCCCUUACGAGUGGGGCUACAAACGUGCUACAAUGGUAGUGACAGUGGGCAGCCACCUCGCGAGAGGGAGCUAAUCUCCAAAAACUAUCUCAGUUCGGAUUGUUCU
rnacentral:rRNA from 1 species